rnacentral:rRNA from 1 species
GACGAACGCUGGCGGCGUGCCUAAUACAUGCAAGUCGAACGCACGAAGUUGAAGAGCUUGCUCUUUAACCAAGUGAGUGGCGGACGGGUGAGUAACACGUGGGUAACCUACCCAUUAGAGGGGGAUAACAUUCGGAAACGGAUGCUAAUACCGCAUAGUUUCAGGAAUCGCAUGAUUCGUGAAGGAAAGGUGGCUUCGGCUACCACUAAUGGAUGGACCCGCGGCGUAUUAGCUAGUUGGUGAGGUAAUGGCUCACCAAGGCAAUGAUACGUAGCCGACCUGAGAGGGUGAUCGGCCACACUGGGACUGAGACACGGCCCAGACUCCUACGGGAGGCAGCAGUAGGGAAUCUUCCGCAAUGGACGAAAGUCUGACGGAGCAACGCCGCGUGAGUGAAGAAGGUUUUCGGAUCGUAAAACUCUGUUGUUAAAGAAGAACAAGGAUGAGAGUAACUGCUCAUCCCCUGACGGUAUUUAACCAGAAAGCCACGGCUAACUACGUGCCAGCAGCCGCGGUAAUACGUAGGUGGCAAGCGUUGUCCGGAUUUAUUGGGCGUAAAGCGAGCGCAGGCGGCUCUUUAAGUCUGAUGUGAAAGCCCCCGGCUCAACCGGGGAGGGUCAUUGGAAACUGGAGAACUUGAGUGCAGAAGAGGAGAGUGGAAUUCCACGUGUAGCGGUGAAAUGCGUAGAUAUGUGGAGGAACACCAGUGGCGAAGGCGACUCUCUGGUCUGUAACUGACGCUGAGGCUCGAAAGCGUGGGGAGCAAACAGG